CCUACGGGAGGCAGCAGUGGGGAAUAUUGCGCAAUGGGGGAAACCCUGACGCAGCAACGCCGCGUGAGUGAGGAAGGACUUCGGUCUGUAAAGCUCUGUUAAUGUGGAAAAAAUGGUAGUUGGUCUAAUAGGCCGAUUAUUUGAUGGUACACAUAGAGGAAGCACCGGCUAACUUCGUGCCAGCAGCCGCGGUAAUACGAAGGGUGCAAGCGUUGUUCGGAUUUAUUGGGCGUAAAGCGCGCGUAGGCGGACCUGUAAGUCAGAUGUGAAAUCUCGGGGCUCAACCUCGAAACUGCGCCUGAAACUGCAGGUCUAGAAUCUCGGAGGGGGAAGGGGAAUUUCGCAUGUAGGGGUAAAAUCCGUAGAUAUGCGAAGGAACACCAGAGGCGAAGGCGCCUUCCUGGACGAGUAUUGACGCUGAGGCGCGAAAGCGUGGGGAUCAAACAGGAUUAGAUACCCUGGUAGUCCACGCUGUAGACCCAUGAACACUAGGUAUUGGAGGAUUUGACCCCCUUCAGUGCCGUAGCUAACGCGUUAAGNGUUCCGCCUGGGAAGUACGGUCGCAAGNUUAAAACNGAAAGAUU
rnacentral:rRNA from 1 species